GAAGUCCCAGGCAUGGAAGUCAGCAGGAUCAAAUACAUGCCCUGAGAACUACUCCAGGAUCAUUCAGGAGUUUUUGGAUGGGGAUGCAUGGCAAUACUUCUCCUUGGCACUGAGACAGGAGAUUGAAGAUUGACCUUGCCCUUCCAUUCCUGACACUUCUCGGCCUUCUAGGCAACAACAUACUGUUUAUUACAGAUGAGUCUAGGUCUCAGAGUGAGAGCUCCAUGGGACAGAGCCACCUGAACACUGACGACAAUGGCCAUGUAACAUGGAUGAGCGUGA